UUUUUGACUGUACACCAUCUUAAACACAAACUCGUUGCUUGUGUGUCAGUCACACCCGCUCAGACUUCAGCUUCUACGAGGACCCACAGCAUCUGACAUCUUAAUCCGGCUUUGUGGCUCCAUUUUGGCCCGAAGGGAACAUUCCCGAGCCGAGGGGGAAUUAGGGAAAAGAUAAAGUGGCGACGAAGGAACGCAGUACUGUAUCUCCGUGGGUCAUCAGAACCGCACAUAACAGUGAGCAUCAGUCGAGUCCAUCGAUCUGUCUGCCUGCCAUUGUGUGUGUGCCUCGGACCAUUAAACCUGCCUCGGCAAAAGGCCGACGCGCAUGCACGGAACCAAGUUGAUGGAGAGAUGACAGAGUGGAGUUGCUGCCCUUAAUUAUGAGCGGGAUCGAAAAGAACUUUACCUGCUGUCUCUUUCGGCAGCUCCACCUUCGAUGACGGUCUUCACGAAGAUGCCCAGUUUCUCCAGGCCUGCAUCGGCGCCAACACCCAUCCCGAUGAUGCUGAUCCCCAAGCCGUCGUCAUCUGAAUGCAGCUCCACGGGGAAAAGUUCGAGCUUCUCGACCCGCUUCUCCAGCUCGUACUCUGCGGACGAGGCCACGGGAUCCACUUCCUCGUUGCGGCGGUCGUAGUCCUCGUUGGAUUGUACCUGUGACCACCCACCCUCGCGCCACACAAAAGCCGCGGCCGCCGGAAGGAUGAUGAGGCAAAGGAACGGAUGUCUCGCGGGGAUUGGGAGUGACCUUGACAGGCGUAAAGGAGAUGAGAAAAAGAAGCCAGCCAGUCUUCCUUAUGUAAAA